rnacentral:rRNA from 1 species
UACGUAGGUGACCAGCGUUGUCCGGAUUUACUGGGCGUAAAGAGCGCGCAGGCGGUCGUUCAAGUCGAGUGUGAAAGCCCCCGGCUCAACUGGGGAGGGUCAUUCGAUACUGAUCGACUUGAAGGCAGGAGAGGGAAGUGGGAUUCCCGGUGUAGUGGUGAAAUGCGUAGAUAUCGGGAGGAACACCAGUGGCGAAGGCGACUUCCUGGCCUGUUCUUGACGCUGAGGCGCGAAAGCUAGGGGAGCAAACGGG